GCCAGCAUGGCAUAGUGGUUUGAGUGUUGGACUACAACUGUGGAGACCAGGGUUCAAAUCCCUGCUCUGCUA
rnacentral:tRNA from 1 species